AUACAGAAGGUCCGGGCGUUAUCCGGAUUUAUUGGGUUUAAAGGGAGCGCAGGCGGAGAUGCAAGCGUGACGUCAAAUUUCGGGGCUCAACCCCGUCUCGCGUCGCGAACUGCGUCCCUUGGUUGCGGGAAGGGGAGGCGGAACUCGUGGUGUAGCGGUGAAAUGCAUAGAUAUCACGAAGAACUCCGAUCGCGAAGGCAGCCUUCCGGCCCGUCUACGACGCUCAUGCUCGAAGGUGCGGGUAUCUAACAGGAUUAGUUAGUCUGGUAGUCGGUAUUUUCGAGCAUGAGCGUUUUUGACGGG
rnacentral:rRNA from 1 species